AACAUCCAGGUAGCUGCUUGAAACGAUUCUUUUUGGAGGAGGAAGGAGGGUGGGUGAGGGAAGGGAAAUUAGCUUGCGUGAGCUCGUAAAUCACUCUCUCACUGGUACGAUCACAUCUAACCUUCAGUAUGGCCCUAGAAGCUGGAUGCUCAUCCAACCCAUUUUCCAGGUGAGGAGACUGAGGCUCAGAGAGCUCAGUGACUAACUCGUCAAGGUCACACCACUUGUGCCCGCUGCCUGGUCCACCCAUCAGGCUACCUCCUCAGCACCCUCUAAUCUCUGAGCCUGAGGCCCCAUUGUCACACAGGCACGUCUGCUGCCACUCAUACCUGUGCGCAGACCUAACCAAGGGAGAUGGGAUGUGCUGCAACCCCCUCAUCUACAAUGGGCACUCCACCCCACCCAGAGACAGCCUCCCAGACGAAGGGGCUGCCCUAAGGUACCAACAGGCAGCAUCCUGGAUGUUUCCUUAUCCCAUGGAGAAGUUUUUUUGGGGAGGGAAAUUGUUUGUUUUUUGUUUUUGUUUAUUUCUCAGUCACCUUUCCCAAGAAAUUCUGACUCAACAGGUACAACAAAAAUGCCUGACACAUAGCCUGGGCCGAACAAUAUAAUCUUUACUUGGUCUCAUUUUCUUGCCACCUCCUGGGCCAGCACCCGAAGACAGUCUAUUCCUGUACCCCCAGGACUUCUAAUAGCACCCUCUUAAUUCUGUCCAGGAAAAGAAGCUCCACCUUCAGAUGUGUUUUAAAGAGUUUUAGAGAAACGGAAGUAAAAACCCAAACCCCAGCCUGGUAGCAAAAACAAAGAACCAAAACACACCGGUUGCCUCCCCCGUCUCCUGCAGCACAAGCUGCGGGGUGAACACAGGAACCAAUACACACAGCCAUCGUCUUCCUCAGGUCCCUGGAACUCGACUCCAAGAUCUGCACAGAUGUAAACUACAUAACCAGUGGGGUGAGGACGGUACAGACACAAACAUCAGCUGGUACCAAAGGAGGCUUCGCUGGAAAAGGAGGUGUCCGCUUCCAACACUUGCAGGAAAAGAACGGGAGACCAUGAUCUGCAAUGAUGUGAAAGCCAUCCUGACUACAAUAACGACAGGAAGAGCAUCCUCGGCAGGGCCCCGGCGGCACCCGCGGGCGUGGGGAAGUUCGGUCCGCCAUCCCAGAGGAGCCUCACCCACGGACCCACGCCAGACACACACUCCACCAGGCCACACGCCACCCAGAGCCUGCCUGCCAGCUAACAGCUUUUGUUUACUUUCCAGCAGCUAGGCUCAGGCAGUGACCGCCUCAGGCAUGAGGAUUAUCCAGGUGCAGUGGGGUACCAUGCUGCUCGGCACGACCUGCUGCUAGAAUGGUACGCAGCACAUGGCACACUGGGUCAGCUAGACAUCUGAAGGGAUGGAAUGCUCCAGGUGUCCCAUUUCCUGCCCACCCCCCAACCUGGUUCCCAUUAAAUCAUCCAGGAAAAAUUAUUCAAUAAACCUGCGCUGCGUUUCCUGGCUCAGGCUGUGAAGAUACCAGAAAGUAUAGGAACUAGGGAGUCUGAGCUUGGGAAGCAAAAGCAGCAGAAGGAAGAGCGGUGGUGCCUCAGGCCAGCAGCCGCACUGGGGCUUGCAUGUCAGCCUCACUGCCUGCAGGUUUUUAGACCUUGGGCAAGUCAUUUCAGCACCGAGGCUCAUAGCAGAUGGUGUCUACCUUAUAAAGCUAAGGUGUGGGUUAAAUAAGAUAAUGCACAUCAAAGAAUAAAGGCUGCCACAUGUUAGUCAUUUACUAUGGGCCAGGAACUGCGUGCUAAGUGCUUUGUGUAGAUUAUUUCAUCGGGGCCUUACAACUUCCCUGUAAAGUAGGCACCACAUCCUCAAAUUCAGGUAAGGAAACCAAGACUCAGAGAAAUCAAAGCACCUACCCAAACGCACACAGCUCAUAAGAAUCAGCUAGAGCACACACCCAGGCCAGUCAGACUCCAAAGCCCUAGGCUCUGCUCUCCUGUCUGACAGGUGCUCAAAACACAUUAUAUAACAUGUAAAUGCCGAACUGGAGGCUGCUGGCUCUCCACCCAGGAGACAUAUGGAGACAAGAGGGGGAGUUUUGGCUGAGAGCAUUUAGGAAGACUUCCUGAAGUAGUUAGGGCUCAAUCUCUUUCUUGGAGGGUGAGGAUGGAGGAAGGCCAAGGAGAAAAGGAAGGGACUGCAAACUAGAAAAACCACAGCAAAGAGCUGGAGGCAGGGGUGACCCCGGCAGGCAGGCACAGUGGCAGCGGAGACCAGACAGGCUAGAGAAAGAGAGAAAGGGGGGCUGCUCUGAGCAAGGGAUGGGCGCCUGGGCCAUUAUCUUGGGAGCCAUUCAACCUGUGAUCCUUCUCACCCACACCCCAGGGAUGGUCCUGCGGCUGCUCUUUUGGUCACACAGUCAACAUGGAGGGAAUCAAGAAUUACGACUAUAAAGGCCCUACCUCCCCUAAGUAGGCUUGGAACCCUGACGAGCAGGUGGUUUUGCCAACUCCCGCCUGUGCUGCUGUGCCAACCUGCCAGGCCCAAGCUCCAGCCAAGCUCCAGGACACCAGGAAUCUGAACGCUGCCAGGUGCACGUGAAGUCAGGGAUGCCAGAUGCCGGCUUCCUCCUCCUCCCAGAACAGGUACCCCCUGAGCACGCCCGUGCUCAGGUACUGCUCCAAAUGCUGAAAGCUACAACACCCUCCCGCUGUCUCAGCUCUCCACCAAGCCCAGCCCAGGCCCCGGGCCCGCAAAGAAGGGAAAGUGAGGUGGAGGAGAUCUCAGCAACUCUGCUCAUUUGACCGUCACAUGCUUUUUUGGAAGUAACAGGACCUGGAGGAAGGAGAGGAUGAAACAGAACUGUAUAAAGGUCUGUUGGUCACAUGGCCUCCUUCCACCCUGCUCAGGAGAAGGGCAAAGGGGAAGUGAUGAAGGGGCUUUGUGGGCUGGUCACUCUGAGCCUCCAGAUGGAAGCUGCCUGGGAUGGGCAGGGGCGCCUAUGUCGUUACCUUUUACCCACGAGUCUGUAGGCAAAUUACUUAACUCUAUGGACCCUUGAUCUCCUGACCUAUUACAUGGAGAUAAUAACCAAUGACCACACAGGAUGACUGUGAACACUGACAUGUGAAUGCAGACAUGAUUAGCAAACUGUAAAGUAUCCUUAGAAAUAGCAGACAUUUUCCCCAGUCCUGGGAGGUGGGGGCUUCAGGUCAGAACACACAACUGUAAGGGAAAAGAUAAACUAGGAACCCAUUCCAUUUGGCAAACUUUUUCCAACACCUUCUAGGACAAGGCACAAGUCUCCAGGGAUUCAAACAUUGAGACUUAUUUCACAAAGUCUUUGUGAGUGCUUGCUGUGGGCCAGGCUGUUCUAAGUAUCUACGUGGCCCGUCUCAUAUAAUUCUUGUAAAAACCCUAUGAAUGGGUCACAGAUGACAAAACUGAAGCACAAAGAAAUUCACUCCUCUCAUGGCCUCACACAGCUGGUAAAUGGUGGAACUGGUAUUUGAACCCAUCAGAGUCUGCUCCUUCGGCAUAUGGUCAACCAAGACGAGUCUCAGACUCUCUAUGUGGCUGAAGGCUCUGAUAAGGCCUGCAGAGAUGAGUCAGUGAGGGAGGGCCCCAACUCACUCAUGGCUUCUCCUGCCCCUGGGCAGCUCUGACUCCUGGGCCAGGGUCCCACUCACACUGCUCCUGGUGUGUCCUGGAAGUUGGCCACACCUCUGCACUCCCCAAGGCUCCAUGUGAGUACCAAAUACCGAGGAAGGUUGAUGUAAGAACCUAUAUGUCAAUGUACAUUUACAUAACAGAUCACUCAUGAAGUAAUUUGUUCUUAUUGUAAAAGAUAGUCCAGGGGGGUGGGAAGGGAUUGAUUGGGAGUUCAAAAUUUGUAGAUACUGACAGGCAUAUGCAGAAUAGAUAAACAAGAUUAUACUGUAC